UACGGAGGGGGCUAGCGUUGUUCGGAAUUACUGGGCGUAAAGCGUGCGCAGGCGGCUUCUCAAGUCAGGGGUGAAAGCCCAGAGCUCAACUCUGGAAUUGCCUUUGAGACUGAGUGGCUUGAGUACGAGAGAGGUGAGUGGAAUUCCCAGUGUAGAGGUGAAAUUCGUAGAUAUUGGGAAGAACACCGGUGGCGAAGGCGGCUCACUGGCUCGUAACUGACGCUCAUGCACGACAGCGUGGGGGAUCAAACAGG
rnacentral:rRNA from 1 species